GAUGAACGCUGGCGGCGUGCCUAAUACAUGCAAGUAGAACGCUGAAGCUUGGUGCUUGCACCGAGCGGAUGAGUUGCGAACGGGUGAGUAACGCGUAGGUAACCUGCCUGGUAGCGGGGAAACUAUUGGAAACGAUAGCUAAUACCGCAUAACAGUAGAUGUUGCAUGACAACUAUUUGAAAGGGGCAAUUGCUCCACUACCAGAUGGACCUGCGUUGUAUUAGCUAGUUGGGAGGUACGGCUCACCAAGGCGACGAUACAUAGCCGACCUGAGAGGGUGAUCGGCCACACUGGGAUGAGACACGGCCCAGACUCCUACGGGAGGCAGCAGUAGGGAUUUUCGGAAUGGCGGAAGUCUGACGAGAAGCCGCGUGAGUGAAGAGGUUUCGGAUCGUAAAGUUCUGUUGUAGAGAAGAAGAGUGUGAGAUGGAAGUUCCACUGUGACGUAUCUUACCGAAGGGAGGCUAACACGUGCAGCAGCCGGGUAAUACGUAGGUCCCGAGCUUAUCCGGAUUAUUGGGCGAAAGGAGCGAGGGGUAGUAAGUCUGAGUUAAAGGCUGUGGUUAACAUAGAGCUUUGGAACUGUUAACUGAGUGCAGAAGGGGAGAGUGGAAUUCCAUGGUAGCGGUGAAAUGCGUAAUUUAUGGAGAACACCGGGGGCGAAAGGGCUCUCUGGUCUGAAAUGACGCUAGGCUGAAACGUGGGAGCAAACAGGAUUAAUACCCUUGUAGGCCAGGGCGAAUUCCACAGUGAUAUCAGCUUAUCGGUCCGGCGACCCGAGGGGGCCCGUACCAUUUAUGUUCCUUAAGGGGGGGAAUUA
rnacentral:rRNA from 1 species